rnacentral:rRNA from 1 species
CACAGAGGGAAGCGAGAGGGAGACCUGGAGCGAACCCAAAAGGACGUCCCAGUUCGGACUGUGGUCUGCAACCCGACCACACGAAGCUGGAAUCGCUAGUAAUCGCGGAUCAGAAUGCCGCGGUGAAUACGUUCCCGGGUCUUGUACACACCGCCCGUCACACCAUGGGAGUCAGCAACGCCCGAAGUCAGUGACCCAACCGUUAAGGAGGGAGCUGCCGAAGGCGGGGCAGGUGACUGGGGUGAAGUCGUAACAAGGUAGC